UUUGGGCAAGAAGACCCUAUGAAUUUUUAUUGUUAAUAAUUAAAAUUUAAGUUAUUAAUAAUUUAAUUGGGGCGAUAAAAAAAGAAUAAGUAUCUUUUUAGUUACAAAAUAAGUUCCGUUUUUAGCGAUUAAAUGAAAUAAAUACUCUAGGGAUAACAGCGUAAUAAUUUUGGAUAGUUCAUAUAGAUAAAAUAGUUUGCGACCUCGAUGUUGGAUUAGGAUUCUUUUUUGGUGAAGAAGUUAAAGAAAGAAGUUUGUUCAACUUUUAAAUUCCUACUUGAUCUGAGUUCAGACCGGA
rnacentral:rRNA from 1 species